AAAACUUUCAACAACGGAUCUCUUGGUUCUGGCAUCGAUGAAGAACGCAGCAAAAUGCGAUAAGUAAUGUGAAUUGCAGAAUUCAGUGAAUCAUCGAAUCUUUGAACGCACAUUGCGCCCGCCAGUAUUCUGGCGGGCAUGCCUGUUCGAGCGUCAUUUCAACCCUCAAGCACAGCUUGGUGUUGGGACUCGCGUUAAUUCGCGUUCCCCAAAUUGAUUGGCGGUCACGUCGAGCUUCCAUAGCGUAGUAGUAAAACCCUCGUUACUGGUAAUCGUCGCGGCCACGCCGUUAAACCCCAACUUCUGAAUGUUGACCUCGGAUCAGGUAGGAAUACCCGCUGAACUUAAGCAUAUCAAUAAGCGGAGGAAAAGAAACCAACAGGGAUUGCCCUAGUAACGGCGAGUGAAGCGGCAACAGCUCAAAUUUGAAAUCUGGCUCUCGGGCCCGAGUUGUAAUUUGUAGAGGAUACUUUUGAUGCGGUGCCUUCCGAGUUCCUUGGAACGGGACGCCAUAGAGGGUGAGAGCCCCGUCUGGUUGGAUGCCAAAUCUCUGUAAAGUUCCUUCAACGAGUCGAGUAGUUUGGGAAUGCUGCUCUAAAUGGGAGGUAUAUGUCUUCUAAAGCUAAAUACCGGCCAGAGACCGAUAGCGCACAAGUAGAGUGAUCGAAAGAUGAAAAGCACUUUGAAAAGAGAGUUAAAAAGUACGUGAAAUUGUUGAAAGGGAAGCGUUUAUGACCAGACUUGGGCUUGGUUAAUCAUCUGGGGUUCUCCCCAGUGCACUUUUCCAGUCCAGGCCAGCAUCAGUUUUCCCCGGGGGAUAAAGGCGGCGGGAAUGUGGCUCUCUUCGGGGAGUGUUAUAGCCCACCGUGUAAUACCCUGGGGGGGACUGAGGUUCGCGCAUCUGCAAGGAUGCUGGCGUAAUGGUCAUCAACGACCCGUCUUGAAACACGGACC
rnacentral:rRNA from 1 species